rnacentral:rRNA from 1 species
CCUACGCGAGGCAGCAGUGAGGAAUAUUGGUCAAUGGCCGGGAGGCUGAACCAGCCAAGUCGCGUGAGGGACGACUGCCCUAUGGGUUGUAAACCUCUUUUAUAAGGGAAGAAUAAGUGGUACGUGUACCAUUAUGCCUGUACCUUAUGAAUAAGCAUCGGCUAACUCCGUGCCAGCAGCCGCGGUAAUACGGAGGAUGCGAGCGUUAUCCGGAUUUAUUGGGUUUAAAGGGUGCGUAGGCGGUUUUUUAAGUUAGUGGUGAAACUUCGGGGCUUAACGUUGAUUGGCCAUUAAUACUGUAAGACUAGAGUUCAGGAGAGGUAGGCGGAAUAAGUUGAGUAGCGGUGAAAUGCUUAGAUAUCACGCAGAACUCCGAUAGCGAAGGCAGCUUACCAGACUGCGACUGACGCUGAAGCACGAGAGCGUGGGUAGCGAACAGGAUUAGAUACCCCUGUAGUC